UUCCUACGGGGGGCUGCAGCUAAGAAUCUUCCGCAAUGGGGGAAACCCUGACGGAGCGACGCCGCGUGAACGAAGAAGGCAGAGAUGUUGUAAAGUUCUUUUCCUGUUGAAGAAUAAGUGGAGGAGGGAAUGCCUCCAUGAUGACGUUAGACAGGGAAUAAGCCACGGCUAAUUACGUGCCAGCAGCCGCGGUAACACGUAAGUGGCAAGCGUUGUUCGGAUUCAUUGGGCGUAAAGGGCGUGUAGGCGGGGUAUCAAGCUUGGUGUGAAAUAUCCCGGCUCAACCGGGAAGGCGCGCUGAGAACUGAUAUGCUAGAGUUCAAGAGGGGGAGUUAGAAUUCCAGGUGUAGGGGUGAAAUCUGUAGAUAUCUGGAAGAAUACCGGUGGCGAAGGCGAGCUCCUGGCAAUGAACUGACGCUGAGGCGCGAAAGCGUGGGUAGCAAACAGGAUUAGAUACCCGGGUAGUCAG
rnacentral:rRNA from 1 species